GUACCAUUAUGAAAAAUGCGUACUCAAUGAACGGUUCAGGCAAACGAAAACGUUCGCUGAACACGUUACUAGAUUCUCUUGAGAUGAAGAUAUAGUCUAAUGCCCGCAGUAAUGCGGGG
rnacentral:autocatalytically_spliced_intron from 2 species